rnacentral:rRNA from 1 species
GACGAACGCUGGCGGCGUGCCUAAUACAUGCAAGUCGAACGCUGAAGAGAGGAGCUUGCUCUUCUUGGAUGAGUUGCGAACGGGUGAGUAACGCGUAGGUAACCUGCCUGGUAGCGGGGGAUAACUAUUGGAAACGAUAGCUAAUACCGCAUGAAAUUGCUUAUCGCAUGAUAAUUGAUUGAAAGAUGCAAUUGCAUCACUACCAGAUGGACCUGCGUUGUAUUAGCUAGUUGGUGAGGUAACGGCUCACCAAGGCGACGAUACAUAGCCGACCUGAGAGGGUGAUCGGCCACACUGGGACUGAGACACGGCCCAGACUCCUACGGGAGGCAGCAGUAGGGAAUCUUCGGCAAUGGGGGGAACCCUGACCGAGCAACGCCGCGUGAGUGAAGAAGGGUUUCGGAUCGUAAAGCUCGGCUGUAAGAGAAGAACGGGUGUGAGAGUGGAAAGUUCACACUGUGACGGUAUCUUACCAGAAAGGGACGGCUAACUACGUG